rnacentral:misc_RNA from 1 species
GAUGAAGAACGUAGCGAAAUGCGAUACGUAAUGUGAAUUGCAGAAUUCAGUGAAUCAUCGAGUCUUUGAACGCACAUUGCGCCCCCUGGUAUUCCGGGGGGCAUGCCUGUCCGAGCGUCAUUGCUGCCCUCAAGCACGGCUUGUGUGUUGGGCCUCCGUCCUCCUCCCGGGGGACGGGCCCGAAAGGCAGCGGCGGCACCGCGUCCGGUCCUCGAGCGUAUGGGGCUUCGUCACCCGCUCUUGUAGGCCCGGCCGGCGCUUGCCGACACAUCAAUCUUUUUUCCAGGUUGACCUCGGAUCAGGUAGGGAUACCCGCUGAACUUAAGCAUAUCAAUAAGCGGAGGA